GGUUAACUGCAGGAGACAAACGAUGGGACUAACUCGAUCGAUGAAUGUCCUUAUGAUCUGUGCAGCGUUCGCAUUUAUCGGUGCAAUGGUCGUAGGACUAAUCCCCUGAAUCAAAGAAAGAACGCUACAAAGAUGGUCUCUGACCGUUAAGCGACUUAACAACUGGACGGCCCGGUUAUAGCAACCGGGCCGU
rnacentral:sRNA from 1 species